CGACCCUACGGGGGGCAGCAGUCGGGAAUAUUGCGCAAUGGAGGAAACUCUGACGCAGUGACGCCGCGUAUAGGAAGAAGGUUUUCGGAUUGUAAAACCCUGUUGUUAGAGAAGAAAGUGCGUGAGAGUAACUGUUCACGUUUCGACGGUAUCUAACCAGAAAGCCACGGCUAACUACGUGCCAGCAGCCGCGGUAAUACGUAGGUGGCAAGCGUUAUCCGGAUUUAUUGGGCGUAAAGGGAACGCAGGCGGUCUUUUAAGUCUGAUGUGAAAGCCUUCGGCUUAACCGGAGU
rnacentral:rRNA from 1 species